rnacentral:lncRNA from 1 species
GAAGCAUAAAAUAUGAAAGAUAUCUGCAGAUUUACUCUGAACUGGAAGCCGUCUUAUAAAAAAGAUGAUGUGCAGGAGUAAAAAGCUAUUGUGAAGGGAAAAGUGAGGUUCAAGAUAAAGUACAGUGGUUCUACAAGGCAGCAUUAGGGACAGUCUCUGAAGAAACCUUUAAUUGGUGGUAUCUGGUGCCAUAAGUUAUUCUUCAGUCUAUUCAUUGUGGAGCUUUCCAUCCUGUUUGUGCUCAGUGAUAAAUAAAGUGGCCUCUGCUUUAUGAAUGGCUAUAAUUAAUUGGAGCUGAAGGAAUAAACAGCAUAGAAACCAGAUCACAGGAUCACAGGAGGGUGAGGGAAGAAGGGGAAGACACUCACUCAUUGAAAAGGAUCCAUUGACAUCAUCUCUUCCUGACCUGAAACACAUCAUACCAACUGAGGAUAAUGUGACCUUCAAACUCUGGCAUGGCACAGAAAAAGGCAUUCCAUGUUGGUCUUUAGGAAUCUUCUCCCCAAGAAGAAAAAGGUAAUGAAUAAAUGUAAUAAAGAAUCAAGUCAGUAACUCAGAAGAUCUUCAAAGACCACCGGACGCGGGGAUCAAUCAGGUCAGGUUUCAGAUUGCAUUUGGUGACCCAUGUCAACAAUCAUCUAUGUCCCUGAGGAAAACCUGAGACCUACAAUUCCUCGAUCUUCCAAGACCUGUUCAGAGUCCUGUUCAUUUUGCUGAGAAGAUAAAGAGAGGACAAGAGAGUGAUCAAGGAAACAGAGAUUUAACAUGGAGUCAUAGGUGGAGAAGGAAUCAGAUGGGUGCCAACGAGCCAUAUUUGCAUUGUCCAUCACAGAGAGACAGAGCAGACCCUUGAAACAAAGGAGAAGACCCCAGAAAUAUUGGGUGGUUCUGUUGCUAAUUGUGCUCACCAUUGAAAGAGCAUGGCAGUUAUGGCGUUUGACUCAUGGACAUCAAAGAUUGUUGGACUUGAAAACCCUCAGGAAUCAUUGGAUUCUCUGAGACAUAGAACUUGAAAACCCUCAGGAAUCAUUGGAUUCUCUGAGACAUAGGAGUUGAAAACUCUCAGGAAUCAUUGGAUUCUCUGAGACAUAGGACUUGAAAAUCCUCAAAAUCAUUGGAUUCUCUGAGACAUAGGACUUGAAAACUCUCAGGAAUCAUUGGAUUCUCUGAGAAAUGAUAAGACUGUUACAGGACUUCAAAAUCUGCUGGAAUCAUUGGAUUCCCUAACACAUAAAAAAGACUUUUGCAGGACUUCAAAAACUCAGGGGAUCAUUGGAUUCCCUGACAUGUGAAGCAAUGGACAAUAGAUUGGUUUUGGACUAUCUCUGGCUGCUGAAGAAGGUGAUGUGUGACUGUUGUCUAAUACCCUCCUUCUAGGACUUCUGGUGAUCUUUUCCAACACCAUGUUGAUUUAUAUUGUUUGCUAUUCUGCUAUUUGCAUGUACAAUUCAUGUUUGUUACACCACAUCGAGCCUGCACUGGCUGUGGGGAAAGUCAUCCCUAAUAGCUUCUGGGUUAUUGCUAUGUGCUUGUGUAAUACCUCCCAUGCUGAUGGGCUUCUGCAUAAUAAGACCCUUCAGCCCAGAAACCCGCUAGCAACCCCCACUUCCCUUUGGUGCUUUUCAUCUCCCUUCCUGAGAUGUCAGGGAGGG